rnacentral:misc_RNA from 1 species
UGCACGAGCUAUUAUGUUGGUUGAGCUCAAAAAGCUUAUAGAAGCAAAUCCCCUGUUUCGUGACAAGUUGCAGUUUCCCAACCUCAAAAACUCAAGGUUACGAACUUUGAUUAACCAAAGCUUAAAUUGGCAGCACCAACUUUGUAAAAAUCCCAGGCCAAAUCCAGAUAUCAAAACACUGUUUGUUGAUCAUUCUUGUGGACAACCAAAUGGUGCUCGAGCUCCGUCACCUGCAAACAAUCCAUUGCUUGGAUCAGUGCCCAAACCAGGCAGCUUCCCUCCUCUUGGUGCACACGGGCCUUUCCAACCUGGGCCAGCACCUGUGGCAGCUCCUCUUGCUGGGUGGAUGUCCAACCCUCCCACUGUAGCUCAUCCAGCAGUUUCUGGUGGACCUAUGGGUCUUGGUCCUUCAUCUAUUCCAGCUUCUCUUAAACAUCCCAGGACUCCACCAACGAAUCCGUCUAUUGAUUAUCCAUCUGGGGAAUCUGAUCAUGCUGCC